GCGUGUGAUAGUUGAGAGGUUAAGGCGUUGGACUCGAAAUCCAAUGGGGUUUCCCCACGCAGGUUCAAACCCUUCUCGUAGCA
rnacentral:tRNA from 1 species